rnacentral:lncRNA from 10 species
CACCUCUGUAACUGUUGCUUGCUGCUUUCUCUUUAGGCAACACCCAAAGCCACUGUCAGAUGUCAUGGAGAUGAGACCUCACAAGCCUACUCAACGUGAAGAUGAUGAGAAUGAAGACCUUUAUGAUGAUCUGCUUCCACUUAAAGAAUAGCCCAUCAUGAUCUGAAGGCAGCGGUGGUUGCUGGUGGAGGAUGUGAGCUUUGGAACUGGAGCUCUUUGAUUCAAAGCUCUGCCGCUUACUCACUGGAUAAGACCAUGAUCAAGUUAUUUCAUCUGAAAAAUUGAGUUGACUGCAGGUAACUGAAACUGCGGAAAGUGAAACUGCAGAUAAGAGGGACCACUGUAAAUAAGUGACAUGAAUGAUACUGCAAAGGACCAUAGCCUAACCAGCCAAGCAAACUGGAAGUACCUUUAGACUCACGCUUUGCCAAGCUCAGUUCCAGAAUCACAUGAUGAAAAGAAUGAUGGAAAGAAAAUGUUUGUGAUAUUAAAAUUAAGGAAAUUACUCCAA